rnacentral:tRNA from 1 species
GCCUGGGUGGCUCAGUAAGUUAAGCAUCUGACUUCAGCUCAGGUCAUGAUCCGAUAGUUCGUGGGUUUGAGUCCCGCGUUGGGCU